GAUAAUACAUAAAUUUUAAACACAGAUGAAAAAGUGGUGUUUGCUCAUCACUCCUGGCUAUGUAAAAUAUCUUAGCUUAUUUAUUAUGGGUAGGUCUAUGUAGCAAUCAAUCAAUAUUUCCGCAGUUGAGCUUCUCAGCAAGCACACGGGUUUAUUUAUUUUGAUUAACAGAUCUCUACUAGGUGAUAUAUAUAUAUAACCCCAUUUUUGUAAUGAUUUAAAGAUUCCUACAAUAGAGGAACCCUAAAUACUGUAGAGGAAUGUGAAAAUAACUUUAGAAAGGCAGAGGAAGGAGGUUUUGAAGUUGGUCCAGGGGAGAAUAGACCAUAGGAGGCCAAGAAAGGUAAGUGAAGUCCUAUGAGAAUAGGAACUGGUAUCCCAUUCUACCCGAAGUGAAAAACAGAAAAUAUGAUAGGAGUCACUGUUUUGAUCUUGAAGAAUCUAAAUCAGUCUGGAAUAGUAAAUCUGAAUGAAAUAGGAGCAACUUUUAAAAGGGACCUGAUAAAGCGCAAGUGUCAGUAGCUACAUAUACAAAAGUGACUUCAGGGCAAAGCCUCAUUGUCAUGAACCCAGGCCCUAAUCCUUCUCAUCUCAAGAAAUCUCUCCUGUCUGCCCUGGGCCAGUGCUAUCCAGCUGCCCUCUGAAUCCAGCGCUCCUCACCCCCAGUGGGGUAUUGCCCCUUGGCAGGGUGCUUAUUUACCCCUUACUUCAAAAUUAAUCUUUUCUCCUUUCCUUCUUCCCCUAUCAAAACUUUUAUCAACUAAAACGUUAGUUAAAUUGACACUAAAGUUGAAUAGUAAUUAGCUUAAGUGUAAAGAGAAGAGGUUUAUUAAUCCAUAGGCAUCUCUAAUCAGGGAAAUGUUUCAGGGAGAAGGGAGGAGUUGGCUUUGGGAAAGGGUUCCUUGCCUGCUUCAGGGAUCCAGACACCUCCUGCCCAACCAUCCUCCAAAACAAUGGAACAAAAUAAUAAAAUAAAUGCAGCUUGGUAAAAGAUACACAGUAGGCUAACUGCCUGAGAUUUUUCUAGGCAAUAAGUUUAAAGAUCCAUAAACAGCAUGAUUGAUGGGUACAGAACCAUGCAUCAUGAGCUCCUUAUGAUGAAAGAAACCGUUAUUGCCAAAGGAAAACUUGACUUAGCACAUGACAAAGAAUUCAAAUCUACUUUCUUGUCUCUUACAAAAAUAAUAGGAUUAUAACAUCAAGAACACUUCAGUUGGCCAGGCGUGAUGGCUCAUGCCCGUAAUCCCAGCACUGUGGGAGGUCAAGGUGGGCAGAUCACCUGAGGUCAGGAGUUCAAGACCAGCCUGUCCAACAUGGUGAAACGCUAUCUCUACUAAGAAUACAAAAAAAAAAAAAAAAUGAGCUGGGUGUGGUGGCACACACCUGUAAUCCCAGCUACUUGGGAGGCUGAGGCAGGAGAAUCACUUGAACCUGGGAGGAGGAGGUUGCAGUGAAUCAAGAUCACACCACUGCACUCCAGCCUGGGCAACAAGAAUGAAACUCCAUCUCAAAAAAGAAAACCAAAAAAACACUUCGGCUAUAGUAUUAUAAUAUACCCCCCUUAUCCACAGGGGAUAUGUUCCAAGACACCCAAGGAAUGCCUGAAACCACAGAUAGUACCAAACCUAUAUAUAGUAUGUCUUUGUAUCUGAUCACUAAGACAGCUACUAAGUGACUUGGGGGCAGGCAGUGUAUACGAUAUGAAUAGGCUGGACAUAGGGAUCAUUCACAUUCCAGGUGAGAUGGAGAAGGACGAUGCAGGGUUUCAUCACACUAUUCAGAACAGUGUGAAAUUGAAAACUUAUGAAUUAUUCAUUUCCAGAAUUUUUCAUUUAAUAUCUUUGGACUACUGUUGACAGUGGGUAACUUAAACCACAGAAAGUGAAAGUACAGAUAAGGGAGGGGUACUGUAAUUCCAUAGUAGAAAUAUGAAUUUGCUCAUAAUUUUUCCUGACUUAGAAUAUCAGCCUAAUAUUGAAACAUGGCUUGGAAUGUUUUAUUAAUUUAGUAAAAAAAAACAAAUCAGUAUAAGAAAUGCUCAUUGAUCUUAAGCAUUCCAUAGGAGGAGAGUCUAAUUUCCUUACAGAUUAUGCAGACCAUUAAAAUAUGCAAAUGAAACAUGAGAUAAUAAGUUUUAUUAGUUUUUAUAGGUGUAUCACAAUAGCCACAUAUUAAAUGUGAGAAUUUGAAAUGGAAGACUUGCCAACUGCCAAGUCAUCCUAAAUGAAAGAGGAAACAAUUAGAAACAGUUGAGUUUAGAGAUAUCAGAAUGCAUAGGUGACAUGUUUAUUAUAUUUUAAAACAUGUUUGAAAGAGAAGAGAAAAGCACUAGAAAUAUUGUCACCAGUGUGAUUAUCAAUUGAAUGUUCUUUUGUUUUAAUUUGGGCCAAUGUUUUCAAUAGGUGAUCAACACAACCCAAGACCCCUGUUCCUGGGUGGAUAAACUUUCUACAGUACACCACCGCAUAGUGUAAGGAGAGGUUACUUCUUUGCUCUAUUACUCUGUUUCAUAUUUGGUUAAAGCAGGGAUUACCAGCAUGAAGUAAUGUUCAUCUGAGUUCAAGAAGAAAAUAGUAAUGCAAGCUUUGACUUCUAUCUCCAUGCGGCGAGGUUUUUUUGUCCCCAGCUGAAUUUUAGGGGCUGCAGUCUUGCAGUGAUAUCUGGAGUACUCUAUGGAUCUACAUUUGUGCCAAUCAUCUACAUCAAGGACCACAGCAAAAGAAAUGAUAGUAUAUAUGCAGGGGCAAGCCAAUAUGAUUUAGACUAUGUUUUUGCGCACUUCAGUGGCAUCUUUCUUACAAGUACUGUCUACUUUCUGGCCUACUGCAUAGCCAUGAAAAAUAGUCCUAAACUAUAUCCUGAAGCAGUCCUACCAGGAUUCCUGUCAGGAGUACUUUGGGCUAUAGCUACCUGCUGUUGGUUCAUAGCAAAUCACUCUCUGAGUGCUGUGGUCAGUUUUCCAAUAAUCACUGCUGGUCCAGGAUUUAUAGCUGCAAUGUGGGGUGUCUUCAUGUUUAAGGAAAUAAAGGGUCUACAAAACUACCUAUUAAUGAUACUUGCAUUUUGCAUCAUCUUGACUGGAGCCUUAUGCACUGCUUUUUCUAAAAUCUAACAAUGACAAAACCAGCAGGUGGCAGCAGUAGUUAAGAGAACGCGUCUAUCGGACAGCAGCGAGAUCAUGCUGAGAAAAGAGUGCAUUUUCAUACAGCAAAUGGAUCUCAGCCACUGUUGGAGUGGCUAAAUGAUUUUUUCCCCCAAAAAUGUGAGAAUGAAGGAAGAUUCAGUUUCAUUCAAGUAUAAAAAUGAAAAUUUCUUCUGAUGAACUGUUUAUGAAGGUAGUACUUUACUGGGUGACUAAAAUGUCUACAUUAUUAUAGCAUUACAUACGAGGAUGCUCUUUUUACCACAGUAUGUACCUAGUGUUGCAUAAUCUAGAACACAGUAUAGAGUCCAUAUACAAAGAAUAUGGACAAAGAAUUACAGUCCAAAUUUCUCACCAUUACCCCAGUGAAGUGAGGCAGAAAUACCUUGGGCGAGGAGGGAGAGCCUUACCUUCUAAUGGAAUUAGAUUCCAAAGAUAUUUGGAUCCUUUGUUUCAUAAAGUAAAUGCAUAGUUGGUAACUAAAUGUUAAAAAGGCCAUUUUAUUAUUGUUAGCCAAAACUUCUGUUUAUUUCAAAUUAAUAUCGCCCAACUCUACAUCAUCUACCCAUUUUAGCUCAUAAUGCUUUUGAUUAUCGCCAGAUAAAGUCCAUUCUCAGAGAACAAAAAUUUUUCAUCGAGAAUAUGUGCAUAACAUAAUACAUACAUACACAAGUAUAUUCACGUACAUAAAUACACACAGAUAUGUUGCUAAAGUGAGAUUGUAGGUUAUCAGUAACAAUUUAAAGGAAACAACCACUCUUUUGAAUGUACAAUUUUUUUUUCUGAAAUACACUUUUCUAAAACCCUCUUAACUGGAGGUUUCCUGUUUUCUUCUUGUUUUAACUGGUGGUUUCCAGUAGGCAAAAUAAAAUGACAGGCAUGCUAGUUUUUUUGUUUGUUUGUUUGUUUUUUUAAGAAAACUGAAAUUAAGCCAAGCAGGGUGGCGCACUACUAUAAUCCCAGCUGCUGGGGAGGCUGAAGUAGGAGGGUCACUUAGCCCAAGAGUGCAAAUCUGCCAGCCUAGGCAACAUAGCAAGGUCCCAUCUCUAAAAAAGAAAUUUAAUUUAAAUUUGUAAGAAAAAAGAAAACUGAAACAGAACUGCCAGUACAAUGUUUGUUGCAAUUGUUUCCAAAACUUUGAAAUAACAAAACCCCUAUUCAAAUGUAAAUUUUACCCAUUCCCACCUGAUAGUACUGUUUAUUAUUUUGCUAAGCAGGAGAAACAAAACAGCUUUUUAUUUGUGUGUAUACUCUGAAGUCAAUGUGCAUGGGUUAAAUCCCAUCUCUGCUUCAUUUUAUUUGUGUGGCUUUGGACAAGUUCCUAAGCCCUCUGUGUCAGGCCCCUCAUUAACAAAAUGGAGUUUAUGAUGGCAUCUACCUCACAUGGUUAUUGUGCGGUUGAAAUUAGUUAAAAUCUGUAAAGUAUGUGGAUGAGUAUCUGGUACUUGGCAAACACUAUGUAAUUGGUAGCUUUAUUAUUAUGUGUUGUUUGAAGGGGAAAAAACUUUUUGUAGAUUGGAGAACACCAUGUAAAAGCUACUAAGCUCACCACCUUCCCAUCCAAACAAUUAUUACUCCUCUAAAUGAAUACUACUUAAAAGUGAUGGAGCUUCUGUUUGUUUAUUGAAUUGCUAAUACAAAUAAAUAUUUGAUUAUAACUUCUUAUACUCAUUUUAAUUUUAACCUGAAAUGUCAUUAAAUUAUGCUGAUAAACUUUGAAUAAAUUGUGAUACAAAAGCUA
rnacentral:sRNA from 1 species